rnacentral:rRNA from 1 species
UUGAACGCUGGCGGCAUGCCUAACACAUGCAAGUCGAACGGUAACAGGGGCUUCGGCCCGCUGACGAGUGGCGGACGGGUGAGUAACGCGUAGGAAUCUUCCCAGUAGCGGGGGAUAGCUCGGCGAAAGCCGGAUUAAUACCGCAUACGCCCCACGGGGGAAAGCAGGGGAUCGUGAGACCUUGCACUAUUGGAUGAGCCUACGUCUGAUUAGCUAGUUGGUAGGGUAAAAGCCUACCAAGGCGACGAUCAGUAGCUGGUCUGAGAGGACGAUCAGCCACACUGGGACUGAGACACGGCCCAGACUCCUACGGGAGGCAGCAGUGGGGAAUAUUGGACAAUGGGCGCAAGCCUGAUCCAGCAAUGCCGCGUGUGUGAAGAAGGCCUGCGGGUUGUAAAGCACUUUCAGCGGGGAAGAAAAGCUUAGGGUCAAUACCUCUAAGUCUUGACGUCACCCGCAGAAGAAGCACCGGCUAACUCCGUCGCCA